UUUGUUUGGUCUUAAUUGAAAAGGCUCAAUUUCGAAUAGCCCAAAAUAUUGAGCCUACACCCAUUCCUCAUUUGACCUAACAUAAUUCCUACCCCUAUAAAAUAUAACUCAUAAAUUAAAAUGGACCCAAGACCUAGACAUAAGCGAGAACGGCAGAUUCAUUUUGGCUAAAAAACAAAGAUCGCCUACCCCCAUCUCCCGGACGAGCAGCAGACAAACGAUCCUCAUUUCCAUGGCUGCCAUUCCAAAAUUCUAAGGAGGCCAUCUUCUUAAAAGCUUAAGUAGACCCACAAAACUCUUGCUUCUUUUUCAAAAUCGGUCGUCCAAUCCUUAAGAGAACUUGGUCCAAUUUUGAACUUCUACCUUAUCUUCACAAAAACACUACAAAUGAGAAUCUAAAUAAACACCAAAAAACCUUCAGCCACUACCUUCUUGGACAAAAAAAAACCAAAAUUGCAUCACUGCUCCUUCUUUUGUUUUAGUUGAAAUGCAGCUCCAAACAACCCUUUCGUGCAUAUUUUCGGAAGGUUUCGAGGUUGUCGGUGAGGUUCUGCUUAAGUACGCUAGUCGUGCCUUGGAUGUCGCUCUCUCGUCGGUCCAGGCGAUGAAAUUGGAUUUCAAGUUUCAGAGUUUGUUUUGUCCUUUUUCUCCAAUUGCAAAGAAAUCAAUAAAGGUUCAAUAUCUAUCUUCAAUCUCUGUUAUUGAUCUUAUUUGUGCGUCGAUUUCGUUGAAGAUUAUUUGUUGUAUUUGUUUUACCUAAAUCAUAUGUUGCUUAGAGGAUGAUCUGUUAAGUAAGGUUCUACUCUUUUGAGAUAGAAAUCUGAUUUCUAACUUUAAUUUCCAUAGUUACACAAGUAUCUAUUGUUUAAUAAAAUUUUAAGAAAAAAAAAAAGAAACAAGUGGGAGUAUUUUUUUUUUUGGUAAAAAAAAAAUGGGUAUAAACUGGUGUUUAAUUGUUAAUUCACUGACGGUGUGCAUUAAAAGGAAUCUGGUCUAGAUGUAAGUUGAUCCAUUUUUUGUGAUGGAGGGCAAAUAUCCGCAUGAUAUCUCGAGCAAUGUUGAACUUCUUAUUCCCAAUGGCUUCUGAUUCUGAAAGUUCUUAUUUAGAUGUAGUUUCUUAUUUAGAUGUAGAGAGCUUAGAUUGCAUUUUGUUAUUCCUACUUGAAGCUUUAUCCAAUAAAAAAAUAUUAAUCAAAUACUAUAAUUUUUUUAUAACUAUUUUUUCCAUAACUUAUGGCCCACACAUAAAUAAAAUUAGUAUAGAAAAUGCUUCGAACUUUUGUAAUUUGCUUUAGGCGUGAUUAAUAAAUAAAUCUUCGUGACCAUGAGUACGGUUCCCAUGGCAUAGUUGCGAUACAUAACUCCAAAUCCGGGGGUACAUUUCAUUUGGCCCGGUUUUAAUUUUCUAACAAGGUUAAAUAGAACGUAUCGUGAAUCACGGGUGCAUUUCAUGUAGCGUGUCUUGCGAUGUGUUUUAAAUAACCUUGAAAUAAUUCCUUAAACAAAUAAAAGCGGUUUUAAAGUUAAAAAUGCGCAUAGGUUUAAAAUUGUUCUAAAAUUAGAUAAUACGCCAAUUGUAAUAGUUUGAGCGACUGUGCUAGAAUCACGGAACUCGGGAAUGCCUAACACCUUCUCCGGGGUUAACAGAAUUCCUUACCCGGAUUUCUGUAUUCGCAAACCGUAAAUAGAGUCAACUUCCCCGAUUCGGAAUUUGAACCGGUGACUUGAGACGCCAUAAAUUUCCCAAGUGGCGACUCUGAAUCUUUUAAUAAAUAAAUCUCGUUUCGACUGUCCUUAAAUUGGAAAAACUCCCUUUAUACCCUUUUUCGGGGGUGUAGGUAAAGAGGAGGUGUGACAUAUCUUAAAGUGUUCAGAUCUGUAAUUACCUUAUUGUUUUGAGUUGUCUAUUUAACUGAAAGCAUGCCUACGUUUUUGUACGUUGUCGCUAUUAUAUUUUUUGAGGUUAAGUUCGUCACUGUCUUUCAGUCCAUUGUUUGGACUAGUUACUUACUGAGUUGGUGUACUCACGUUACUCCCUACAACUUGUGUGCAGAUCUAGGCACUUUUGGACCCAGUGGAAGCUGCUGAUCGAAGCUUCAGACUUAGGAGACUAUCGAGGUAUCUAUACGGUGUUCGCAGGCCUUAACUCUCCCUCUUUAUCUCUAGAUGUAUUUUAGUUUAUUUACUUUAAAUAUUGUAAUAGACUAUGUUCUCCUCUAGACGCUUAUGAACUCAGUGACACCCCGGUUUUGGGCAGUUGUAUCGAAUUUUGAAUUUUAUUUUAUUUUCAAAAAUGUUCCUUAAUGAAUUGCCUUUUCCGUGUCUAUUGUGUAAAAAAAAUUCUAUUGCGGUGUUGGAUUAUUGAGUUGAAGCUAGCCCAGUUCCACGAUCUGCACCAUCAUGACGGGUCGAGUUUUGGAUCGUGACAAUUUGGUAUCAGAGCCUAGGUUACAUAGGUCUCACGAUUCAUGAGCGGGUUUAGUAGAGUCUUGCGAUCGGUACGGAGAUGUCUGUACUUAUCUUCGAGAGGCUACAGAACCCUUAGGAAACUUUACAUUCUUGAAUUCUUGUCGUGCAAAUCUGUUGAUUCUGGUAACUAAACUUUUGUUAUUCUAUUCUCUCACAGAUGGUGAGGACAUGUGCUACCGUUUAGGGUGGACAACCACCAGUACCACCAGUUGGGGCCGCGAGAGGCCGUGAUAGGGGUAGGGGUGCAGCCCGCACAGCGGCUAGGGCAGCACUUAUAGAUCCACCAGUCGCCCCAGUGCAGGAUCAGGUUUCGGUGGUAGAUGCCUUAACUCAUAUUUUGACUGUGUGCACCAGUCUUGCUUAGGCAGUCUCUAUUCCAGCCGCAGCAGCUACUUCUCAGGUCGGGGAAGGUGUUUAGACUCUCGCCGCCUGCACACCAAAGCAGGUGGUGCAGGGACUUCAGACACCGGGGGCACCACCAGCCCAACCGGUUGCACCUGCUCAGGACUAUGUGGUUAAUGUUGUGCCUGAUGAUGAGCAGCGUAGAUUGGUGCGGUUUGGUAGACUUCAGCCUCCGGCUAUCAGUGGUGUAGAGGAUGAGGACG
rnacentral:lncRNA from 1 species